GGGGGUGCAAAGGUUUCGACGGGGAUUGGAAGCGCUGGUUGCAUGCCGGAGUGGGCUGGCUCCGAUAAAAAGCCCAACACAUACAAACGCCGAUACUGACGUUCGUUACGCACUGGCCGCUUAAUUAAGCGACCGCGUCUUUAGUUUCAUCGCCCGUGUGGGCUUUAGACGUUAAUUAGCGGGAUAGUUUCAGGGAGUGUCUGUGACCCUGUUGCGAAACUUAAGCAGGCUCCCCCAUCUAAUAUCCUGUUCGUGGGAGAUUUUAUGGGUUAAGCAAUACACGAACUAUGCAUGUAGACGCCUGACGUGAAAAGUUUUCGGACGGGGGUUCGAUUCCCCCCACCUCCACCA
rnacentral:tmRNA from 1 species